GAGAGCUCAUCUGUAAAUGUGAAUGCUUGGGGUCUUCUCCAAAACUAUCCUCACUGCUUUUGUUUGCAGAAGUUGGGUUGUGCAAGCUGUUGGUGUAUGGCUUGUCCUGCUGAGUUACGAAGAACAAUCUACUUGAGAGCAAACUGCAUGAAGAUCGUACAGACAGAUGCCAAAAAAGAGGGCCCCCAUCAGCCCAGUAUGCCCUGCUGUGAACCACCAACGUGCCAGGAUGCUGCUGAAAAACAAAUGGAAGCUGGCAGCAGCUGA
rnacentral:lncRNA from 1 species